rnacentral:rRNA from 1 species
UGCGUAGGCGGAUAAGUAAGUCAGUGGUGAAAUCUUUCGGCUUAACCGGGAAACUGCCAUUGAUACUGUUUAUCUUGAGUUCGGUAGAGGUAGGCGGAAUGUGUAAUGUAGCGGUGAAAUGCUUAGAUAUUACACAGAACACCGAUUGCGUAGGCAGCUUACUAUGCCGCGACUGACGCUCAGGCACGAAAGCGUGGGUAGCGAACA